rnacentral:rRNA from 1 species
AUGGAAGGCGAGACACCGCCGGCGACGGCGGCGGCGGUAUCCAAGGUGCUCGACGACGACAACCUCCUCGCCGAGAUCCUCAUCCGCGUUGGCCUCCCCACCACGCUCGUCCGUGCCGCCGCCGUCUGCAAGCGCUGGCUCCACCACGCAUCCGACCGCAAGUUCCUCCACCGUUUCCGUGAGCUCCACCCUCCCCGCCUCCUCGGCCUCCACGUCAUCGAGCAGGGCAGGUUUGCGAGCCCGACUGCCGAGCGCUUCGUGCCGAUGCUGCCUCUGCCUCCGGAGCUCGACGCGGUGGUCCGCCGCGUAAGCUCCAGCUUGGGUAGCUACCGGAGGGACAACGUAAGAUCGACCCGUGUCAUUGGCUGCCGGAACGGCAGUCUACUCAUCGAGCACCGCAUGAUCGAAGGCAGAUCUACACUUGGCGUGCACAGGCUGCUAUUCCCUGAGAAAGACAUGACCUUUGUUCCAGCACGCCCACGCCCCAAAAUUCAUAGUUCUGUUCACGCAUACCAGGGAGAAAUCCUCACCAAAGAAGGAGAAGGCGGCUUGUCUUACUUUUACAUGUUGGUGCCGUAUACCAUGGAGAGGGAAGAUGAGGUACAAGUAUAUAUGUUGAAGGAUGGUGUCUGGUGCAUGCAUCGUAAUUUGCCCGUAGAUGGCAAGCUCUAUCUUAGUCGGCCGGAUGAAGGACCCAUGCUUGUUGACAAUAAGAUCUAUAUUGCAGUUGACCGGAGUGAAAUUACUGUCUUGGAUUUGACGUCCUUGAGUUUCUCCGAAAUUCAGCUCCCACAAGGGGUGGAUCGUGGCAGCAUUGGCGAGCGAAGUACCAGCUUGGCACGUGCUGAUGCCGCUGGUGUAUACCUUAUCCAUGUCAAGGAGCUUCAAAUUCGCCUAUGGCUCCACAAGGAAGGCGACUGGUUGCUAGUGGACACCAUUUGUUUGCGUGAGAUGUUAGCUAGUCUGAGUAUGUUAGGUUCCAAUGCUUCUCUCCGAAUAAAAAGUGUGGGGGAUAAUGCUGAGUUUGUGUUCUUGGAGAUGGGUCGAUGCGCCCUCCACUUGGAUGUCAAGUGCAGGACACUACGUAAAGUCUAUGAGGUGACAGAAGAGGGUGCAUAUUUGGGUGAUAUCUAUCCUGUUAUGAUGAUCUGGCCUCCAGCAUUUCCUGCACUCAAGGAUGAUCCCGCAAGAGAAGCCAUGUGA